UCCGAGUUGACCCCGGCAGUCUCCCGUGAGUCCCCGCCAUAACGCGCUGGCAACAUGGAACGAGGGUUGCGCUCGUUGCGGGACUUAACCCAACAUCUCACGACACGAGCUGACGACAGCCAUGCACCACCUGCACACCAACCACAAGGGAACACCCAUCUCUGGAUGCGUCUGGUGCAUGUCAAGGCCAGGUAAGGUUCUUCGCGUUGCAUCGAAUUAAGCCACAUACUCCACCGCUUGUGCAGGCCCCCGUCAAUUCCUUUGAGUUUUAAUCUUGCGACCGUACUCCCCAGGCGGAAUGCUUAAAGCGUUAGCUGCGCCACUGACGAGCAAGCUCGCCAACGGCUGGCAUUCAUCGUUUACGGCGUGGACUAC
rnacentral:misc_RNA from 1 species